AUUGAACGCUGGCGGCAGGCCUAACACAUGCAAGUCGAGCGAGCGGCGGACGGGGGAGGAAUGUCUGGGAAACUGCCUGAAGGAGGGGGAUAACUACUGGAAACGGUAGCUAAUACCGGAUACAAUCAGAUGUGCCCAGAUUGGAUUAGCUAGUAGGUGGGGUAACGGCUCACCUAGGAGCCGAUCCCUAGCUGGUCUGAGAGGAUGACCAGCUAACCUGGAACUGAGCCCCGGUCCAGACUCCUACGGGUGGCGUCAGUGGGGAAUAUUGGUCAAUGGGCGUAAGCCUGAACCAUCCAAGUAGCGUGCAGGACGACGGCCUAUGGGUUGUAAACUGCUUUUAGCGGAGAUAAGGUACCGCAUGAAUAAGGACCGGCUAAUUCCGUGCCAGCAGCCGCGGUAAUUC
rnacentral:rRNA from 1 species